rnacentral:rRNA from 1 species
GGGUGACAGCCCCGUACACAAAAGCGCAUGUGCUGUGAGCUCGAUGAGUAGGGCGGGACACGUGGUAUCCUGUCUGAAUAUGGGGGGACCAUCCUCCAAGGCUAAAUACUCCUGACUGACCGAUAGUGAACCAGUACCGUGAGGGAAAGGCGAAAAGAACCCCGGCGAGGGGAGUGAAAAAGAACCUGAAACCGUGUACGUACAAGCAGUGGGAGCACAGGUUUACCUGUGUGACUGCGUACCUUUUGUAUAAUGGGUCAGCGACUUAUAUUCUGUAGCAAGGUUAACCGUAUAGGGGAGCCGUAGGGAAACCGAGUCUUAACCGGGCGUUAAGUUGCAGGGUAUAGACCCGAAACCCGGUGAUCUAGCCAUGGGCAGGUUGAAGGUUGGGUAACACUAACUGGAGGACCGAACCGACUAAUGUUGAAAAAUUAGCGGAUGACCUGUGGCUGGGGGUGAAAGGCCAAUCAAACCGGGAGAUAGCUGGUUCUCCCCGAAAGCUAUUUAGGUAGCGCCUCGUGAAUUCAUCUCCGGGGGUAGAGCACUGUUUCGGCUAGGGGGCCAUCCCGGCUUACCAACCCGAUGCAAACUGCGAAUACCGGAGAAUGUUAUCACGGGAGACACACGGCGGGUGCUAACGUCCGUCGUGAAGAGGGAAACAACCCAGACCGCCAGCUAAGGUCCCAAAGUCAUGGUUAAGUGGGAAACGAUGUGGGAAGGCCCAGACAGCCAGGAUGUUGGCUUAGAAGCAGCCAUCAUUUAAAGAAAGCGUAAUAGCUCACUGGUCGAGUCGGCCUGCGCGGAAGAUGUAACGGGGCUAAACCAU